rnacentral:rRNA from 1 species
AUGGACGCGCUUUCGUCGGCGGGGAAUCUGAAGGGCCCGCGGCUCAAAGUGCGGCAGGAGUCGCACGCCAUCAAGAAGCCGCCCGGGGCGCAGGUGCAUGGCCGGCCGGAGCAGCAGCAAGGGCGGGCGGUGCGCGUCCACGCCAAUGUCAAGAACUUCAGGGAGAUUGUGCAGUAUCUGACCGGUGGCAUUCUAGCCUCCGACUCGGUUGUGCAGCAGCUAAUCUGUACCCUCGAGUGCCAGAUUGUUGAGACCGUGGAGCGGCAGUCCAUCCUGCCGCCGGAGCUGCCGCCCCCGCCUUCCGCUCCAAUGUCCCCGGCGGCGAGGCUGGAAUCCAUCGCGAGCUCCGUCCGGCCUGUGCCCGUAGACUUGACGGACGACAGAUCCGAGGACGGCGGCCUCGCGGUCGCGGGCGUUGCCGACGAUGACCGGCUCAGUUUGAAGUGUGCUUUGCCGUCCUCGUUGCUGCCGGAAUCGGCCUCGGGGCAGUUCUCGCCGCAAGGUCCGAAAUCAGAUGAUGACUGGCUCAGUCUUCACUGCCCUUUGCCGUCGUCGCCUCCGGUUGCGGCCUCGCGGCAGUUCUCGCCGGAAGGUCCGAAUUUGGCCGAGCAGCUUGAGCAAUUAGUCAGUGAUAUCAGCCGUGAAGACCAUUCACAAAUCAAGCAAAUGCGUCAGACCAAGAAGAGAGUUCAAAAACUACAGGCUCCUGUCUGUGCUAUGGCGGACGCCAUGUUCAGGCUCCCCGCGAAGCUGGACGGGCUACUGGCCCGCCACGGCCACACGCUGCCCCGCGGCGCGGAGGAGGAGAUACCUCUCAUCAAGCAAGAUCUGGAUAAGAUGGUGGCCCUUCUCCAGGAGCACGACGACUCCGGCGCAGCGGAGGACCGUGCUAUGACGGGCAAGUGCCUGGCCAAGGAGGUGCGCGAGCUUUCAUACGACAUGGAGGACACCGUCGACCAGUAUGAGCACGCCGCCGCCGCUACCAAGAGAGGAAUGUUAUCCCCUCGCCGCAAGAAGUACAAGAUCACUUGCCGCAGGAGUAAGGGCACCACUGGGCUUCGGGACAAGCUCAAGUGGCGCCUAUGGAUGGCCAACAAGAUCAGGGAGUUCAGCGUGCGCUCCCAGGAGGCGCUUCAGCGGUACAGCUUGUUUAACCACUCUGGUGACAAUGGCAUCAGUGCUGCUGCCAUUGGUGGCACUGGCUGCAGCACUUCUCCUAGAUCUGAUGCGUCGUUUGGCUCAUGGCGUCCCACGCGGUAUGGGAAGCCUAUUGGUAUCGAUGCCCCCAUGAAGAAGCUUGAAACGUGGCUGGGUAAGGAUGGAGAGCAGAGGCUCAAGGUUGCGUCCGUUGUUGGAUCUGUAGGGAUUGGUAAGACCACUCUUGCCAAAGAGCUGUACCGGAGAAUCGGCGGGCUAUUCGAGUGCCGGGCAUUUGUGCAUACGUCCCGAAAGCCUGAUGUCAGGAGGCUUCUCAUCAGCAUGCUCUCUCAGAUUCAGCCAUACCACACCCCUCACAAUUGGAAGGUGCAUAGCCUCAUUGCUGAUAUCAGGACACAUCUCCAAGACAAGAGGUACUUGAUCGUAAUUGAUGAUGUAUGGACUACCCAAACAUGGGAUAUCAUAAAUCGUGCCUUGCCAGCUGGUAAUCUUUGCAGUGCAAUACUCAUAACGACAGAAGUCGAUGAUGUAGCUCUGAAAUGUUGUGGUUAUGACUCUAAGAAUGUUCUCACGAUGAAACAACUUGGUCAUGAUGAUUCAAGCAAAUUAUUUUUCAGCACAGUUUUUGGCCCGCAAUAUGAGUGUCCUCCAGAACUCAGUGAAGUUGGAGACAGCAUUAUAAGGAAAUGUGCUGGUUUACCAUUAGCAAUGGUUACCGUUGCUAGUCUUUUAGUAAACCAUAUGGGGAAACCAGAGCGAUGGCAUUAUGUAAACAAAUCAUUAGGUUAUGGUUUGAGGACAAAUCCUACUUCAGAGGGGAUGAAACAAGUACUAGACCUUAGUUACAAUAAUCUUCCUCAGCAUUUGAAGCCAUGUGUGAUGUAUCUCAGCAUAUAUGAAGAGGACUACAUUAUUCAGAAGGAUGAUUUGGUAAAGCAAUGGAUAGCUGAAAGUUUUAUCCAUGCAACAGAAGAGAAAGAUAAGGAGGGAAUAUCAAGGAGCUAUUUUGAUCAGCUUAUCAGUAGCAGAGUGAUCCUACCUGUACACAUAAAUGAUAAUGAUGAUGUUUUAUCCUGUAUGGUGCAUCACAUAGUACUUGAUUUUCUUACACAGAAGUCCUUAGAAGAGAAUUUUAUCACCACAAUAGAUCAUUCUCAGACAACUGCAAGGCUUGCUGACAAGGUUCGUCGACUGUCUCUUCACUUUGGUAAUGCAGAAGCAACGCCACCAAUAAACAUGAGGCUAUCACAAGUUCGGACUUUCGCAUUUUUUGGGGUCUUCAAGUGUUUGCCCUCCAUUGUGGAGUUUCGGCUUCUUCAAGUUCUCAUCCUUCAUCUGUGGGGCAAUGAUGAAUCCAUCAGUGUUGAUCUCGCUGGAAUAUCUGAGCUUUUUCGGCUGAAAUAUUUGCAUUUCACAUGUAAUGCCACCUUAGAAGUACCACAAAACCAGAUGCGAGGUCUACGUUAUUUGGAGACACUGAAAAUAGAUGCAAGAGUAAGUGCAGUUCUGUCGGAUAUUGUUCAUUUGCCGGGCUUAUUGCAUCUAAGUCUUCCUGUUGAGUCAAAUCUGCCCAGUGGUAUUGGCAGCAUGACAUCGCUUUGCACACUUGGAUAUUUUAAUCUAUGUGUUAACUCAAUAGAUAAUGUGCAGAGCCUUGGUAAGCUGACCAAUCUCCGGGAUCUUCGACUGACCUGUUCUACAGUUCCUACUUACUUAAAGAGCAAAAUGGAUAAUAUGGGCUCUAUUCUUUCGAACCUCAGCAACCUCAGGUCUGUAACUCUGAAACCUUCAGGUAGUCUGGAGAGUGGUCCUUCCAGCAUGAGCAUUUCCUGUGAUGGCUUGACCAGCGUUUCCUCUCCUCCGGUGUUUCUUGAGAGAUUUGAGUGGUUUCCGCACAUUUGCACCUUCUCCAGUAUACCCAGGUGGAUUGGACACCUCAACAAGCUCUGCAUUUUAAAGAUUGGGGUUAGGGAACUGGCGAGUGAUGAUGUUGAUGUUCUCAGAGGAUUGCCUGCACUAACUGUUUUGUCGUUAUAUGUCAGAGCAAAGCCCGCAGAAAGAAUUGUCUUCACUAAGACAGGAUUCUCGGUUCUCAAUUGCUUCAAGUUCAGGUGCAGCGUACCUUGGCUGGAAUUUGAGGUGGAUGCAAUGCCUAAUCUCUUGAAACUCAAGUUAAUUUUCGAUGCCCAUGGAGUAGAUCAACACGGUACUAUACCUGUCGGCAUCAUGCACAUAACAGGCCUUAAGGAGAUCUCUGCAAAAAUUGGGUGUGCUGGUGCCAGUGAUCCCGAUAGAAGGGCUGCAGAAUCAGCCCUGAUUGACGCUAUUAAGAUGCAUCCGGCACGUCUCUCCUUCAACAUACAGUGUUUAGAUGAGAUGUUCAAUGGUAAGGAUGAUAAUAAUAGCAGGGUGCAAGAGGAAGAAAUAGAACACACGACUUUGCAAAAACAAUAUGUGGUCAUGGAGGAAGACUCAAUUGAACAGCAUGGACUCCUUCAAAAGGGUUCCAGGGAAGAUGCUCACUGCAGGAAGAAGAAAGUACGCGGGAGAAGCACUGGUCCCGGUUCUGUUGCUGAAAUCAUCAAGAAGUGGAAGGAGCAAAACCAGAAGCUCCAGCAAGACAAUAGAUCCCUGAAAGCGCCGGCCAAGGGUUCCGAGAAAGGGUGCAUGGCAGGGAAAGCAGGUCCGGAAAAUUCAAACUGCGCUUACCGCGGUGUGAGACAGCGGACGUGGGGCAAAUGGGUGGCUGAAAUCCACGAGCCCAACCGUGGCCAACGGCUAUGGCUUGGUUCAUUCCCUACUGCAGUGGAAGCCGCGCGCGCAUAUGAUGAUGCAGCAAGGGCAAUGUAUGGCGCCACAGCACGUGUCAACUUCUCAGAGCACUCCCCAGAUGCCAACUCUGGUUGCACGUCGGCACCUUCGUUGCAGAUGUCUAAUGAGGCCACCACUGCGUCACAUCCGUCUGAUGAGAAGGAUGAAUCGGAAUCUCCUCAUCUUAUCUCAAAUGCGCCGACAGCUGUGCUGCAUCAGUCUGAUGCGAAGGAUGAGUCUGAUACCAUCUUACGUCUGUAG